ACUCCUACGGGAGGCAGCAGUGGGGAAUAUUGCACAAUGGGCGCAAGCCUGAUGCAGCCAUGCCGCGUGUAUGAAGAAGGCCUUCGGGUUGUAAAGUACUUUCAGCAGUGAGGAAGGCGGAGUCGUUAAUAGCGGCCUCGUUUGACGUUAGCUGCAGAAGAAGCACCGGCUAACUCCGUGCCAGCAGCCGCGGUAAUACGGAGGGUGCGAGCGUUAAUCGGAAUUACUGGGCGUAAAGCGCAUGCAGGUGGUUUGUUAAGUCAGAUGUGAAAGCCCGGGGCUCAACCUCGGAAUUGCAUUUGAAACUGGCAGACUAGAGUACUGUAGAGGGGGGUAGAAUUUCAGGUGUAGCGGUGAAAUGCGUAGAGAUCUGAAGGAA
rnacentral:rRNA from 1 species